UUAACUGAAUUUUAUAACGCUGAUCGAUAUCUUGGUAAAAUAUUCAUUUUUAAACUAGCGGGCAGUGAAAUCUUUGCUUUGUGUGCUAAAGUCAACAGUCGCUCGGUUUGAGCUCAAAUAAAUGCGGAGAUGCCUCGGCUCAGAGCAGUCGGCCACCUCCCUUCGAGCGCUGGACGCUCCGCCGCCCGCCAGCCCGCCGCACCACAGGGAUCAAGACUAGCUCAACUAUGGCUGAGAAAACAACCCAUGUUCCCCAGAGUUUAAAACCUGCCCAUAAGUUGUGGUCGUGUUUUGGAGAUUCGGGAUCCUAUUUCCAAGGAGAGUUGUCCGGGGCGUGUUUAUGUUUGUUAUUUUCAAAACCAAGCAAAGGAAACAGCAGCCAAUUAAAAUGAAAUAUUUUUAUUUGCCUCCA